UCUCUAGCUCCAGUCCUGGUUUUCUUCUGCCUCUCUUUCAAUUUCGUGUAAACCCUUCCAAUGUUUUUCUCUGCAUUUUUCAUACAUAUAUGUGUUCUUUCUCUUUUUCCUUUAAGAUUAAUGGUAUCAUAUGUAUUAUUCUGCCAUUUAAUCUUUGGAUCAGUGAUAUAUCCGAGAGAUUUUCUUUUCAGGUGAAUACAGACCUACACAAGAGCUCAUGGUGUUCCACUGGGUGCUCGCAUUAGCCCCACUACAGAUGAUCACAUAGUGGCUCAGAGAACAGAAGUGACUCACCCCAGCUGGGUACCAGAUAGGUGGCAUCGAAUUAUUUGCCCGUAGACGCCAUGGGUACCUCCAGCAAGACAUCAUCAGAACCGGUAGGGAAGGAUGAAGUCAGAAGAAGGAAGAGAAUGAGAGAAGAUGAUGGAACUAACAUUUUCUGAGCACUUAUGUGUGCGUGCCAGGUUCCGUGCCCAGCGUGGAGCCCAAUGUGGGGCUUGAACUCACAACCUUGAGAUCAAACCUGAGCUGAGAUCAAGAGUCAGAUGCUUAACUGACUGAACUACCCAGGCAACCCUGCAAGCUUUGUGUUUGGAUAAGAGCAUCCUACCUGGGAAGCAGUAGAGCCCGGUUGUUAAAAUGGGCCUCUGAUGCCAGGCUGCCUGGGCUGGAGGGUCUGCUGACGGCCUGACAAUCUUUAAUAGGGCAUUCAAUGCACACCUAGCUCUUCCUCUCCUGUUCCCCACUCAACAAUAAGACAGAGUAGAGCAUCCCCCCCGACAAAUGGGGAAACUGAGGCCCAGAGAUAUGAAGUGAGUUGCUCAAGGCCAUGUGGCAGGAACAUUUAAUUGGCGUGUCAAGGGACCCACACAUUUGGGUGGGCCAACUGACCACCUUUAAUCCAAGAGCUUCUUGACUCUUAGAUUUGGCUGAAAGGAUCCCUGACCCCCUUCUAAUGGUCCAGGAUAAGACUCAGACGUGUUGAUGGCAAAGCAACAAUAACAGUAAUAACAAUACUACCAGCAAACAUUUAUCCAGAAUCUACUACGCGUCUAGUAUCAUGCCAUGUGGUUUAUAUGUCUCAUUGUCUUCACUUUUCUCAACAUGAUGAUUAAAUGCAUGGACUCUGAAGCCAGACAGCCUAGGUAUGAAUCUCAGCUCAGCUCCCUACUGGCUGUGGACAAUUAGGCAAGUUACUUUACAUCUCUGGGCCUCAGUUUCCUCAUCUCUAAAAUGGGGCUGGUACCUUAUAAUAGAUCCCUGGCACUUAGUAAAUAGGAUAUAAAUAUUACCGUUUCAUUUUUUUAACUGAAAUAUAGUUGACACACAAUAUUCCUUUAGUUUCAGGUAUACAAGAUUAUUGUUCCAUUUUAAGAAAUCUAGUAAAAGCUUCCUCUUUUCUUGGCUUGUGGAUGAUGUGUAUAGAAAAAAGAAAACUGAUAGGAUGAACCAGUUCAUUUUUCAGAGCUGCAAGCAAAUGGGAAGAGAUUUUUUCAAUGAAGAAGACAUCAGAGCGGAUAGCCAUGGUCUCCAUUUACAAAUGGGGAAACAGAGGCUCAGAGAGGGUAAGCUAGUUGCUUGAAAUCACACAUCUAACAAGUAGCAGAUGAGGAUUUGAACUCAGACCUGUCUGACGUCACAACUCAUGUCCUUAACCCCGACGCCAUAUGGCUAGUCCUGCUGAUCAUGGAAAGAUCUGGUGCGUGGCCGUGCAUUGAAAAUGGAAAUAUGAGUCACCAGCUGUCCCCAGGGAUGGCUGGGGAGUGAGAGGAGCUCAGCUAUGGGGCAGAAUGUUCCGCCAGAUGCUGAGGAGCAGCUGCCAACAGUGCUCAGUCUCUUUCAUGCCGAGGAAAGGGAGGAGGAGGAGGGCAUGGAGGAACAGGGCUCGCAAGCCAGCGGGAGCGCAGCCUGGAGCUUGGUGGGUGACGUCAGGCUCACACAUCUGGCCUCCGGAAUGCUGAGUCCCCAGAAGAACGCCAAGCUUCUGCUUCUCCUCGCAGCAAGCUUUUUCCUCUGAAAUAACUCAGGCAGCUUUGCUGAGAAAAGUCUCAGGCGUUCUAGACUCUCCUGAACCGAUCCAGGUGGUGACGUGUAAAACGGGCAUGUUCACCCGCUGCUGAAGACUAAGUCUCUGUAGGCACAGGGUUAAGGGAAGCAAGGCUGCAGAGUCAGACAACUCUGAGAAGGAUUCCUGGCUGGGUGAUCCUGGCCUGUGCCUCAGUUUCCUCUUCCUCGCAUGAGGAUCGUAGCCCUUCUUUGCAGGGUCUGGAGAAGGAAUAGCAUGCCGAAUGCCCGGCACCUGGUAGACAUCCAAUCCAUGCUCCUGACCACCUGCCCGAGUCAAUGAACUAACGAGCGAACUUGUUGAAUGGCACCCCACACAGCACCAGCAUGCAGCAGGUGGUCACCACCUUGCUGACCCAUGUGGUUGGAGGCGUUGUGCCUGGCCUUCCUUUUCUGGUUCCAGCAUCCACUUUGCUCCAGGAAGAAGGAAGUCCCAUCUGGCCUCUUCCAAGCACCAGGCUGAAGAUGAAGAGUUAGGAGGAGCUCAGCCUUUUUGUCCUUGCUGGUGCCCCCAUCUGACUCAUUUUCAGUACUCGUUGCUGGUUCAACCUGGGAAAGUUUGGGACUGGCCAGUGUGACUUGCUGAGAUUGGUGGAUUCAUUUUAGUCUCAAAGGGAACCAAAAGCCCAGGUCUUCCCAAAGCCCCCUCUGCUUGGGCUGGCCUUAUCCCCUCAGUCAGGGGAAUGAGUCAGCCCAUCCUCAGGACUGCUCCUGUUUUUCACUCUGCCUAGGCCUUCAGAGAUCACACAGCAGCUCCUCUUUUCUCUGCUCCUGGGGGAAAAAAAGUGAGUAUAUAAAGGGAGGAUGAAAAGACGAACUAAGCCACCAUUCAUUCCUUGGUGCCACUGAAAGGGAAGCGACUUCUCAGGUAGGAUCAUUUGAGCCACGGCACAGCCCUCAUCACUGUCCUUCUCUGCCUGGCUGGAGGCCAGGCCUGCCACCUGCACCUCCAAAUUCCCUCUCCGCAGGUGGGAAAACAACCUAUCCUCUACGAUCUGCUGGCAUUUAAAAAGAUGUCCUCGAUGAUAGAAUUUGCUUGGGGCACUGGUCACUGGUUCCCUGCUUAGAUCAAGCAUAUGACCUCAAUUUCCUGCCAAAUGAGGAUUGUCAUAAGGAGCGGGGAAAGCCGUCAUGGCCGCAAAG